rnacentral:rRNA from 1 species
ACGAAGGGGGCUAGCGUUGCUCGGAUUUACUGGGCGUAAAGGGCGCGUAGGCGGACAGUUUAGUCAGAGGCGAAAGCCCGGGGCUCAACCUCGGAAUUGCCUUUGAUACUGGCUGUCUUGAGUACGGGAGAGGUGUGUGGAACUCCGAGUACAGAGGUGAAAUUCGUAGAUAUUCGGAAGAACACCAGUGGCGAAGGCGACACACUGGCCCGUUACUGACGCUGAGGCGCGAAAGCGUGGGGAGCAAACAGGA